CCCCUAGAUGUUCUGGGCCGCACGCGCGCUACACUGAACAGUUCAACAAGUCUUAACCUUGGCCGAUAGGUCUGGGUAAUCUUUGAACGCUGUUCGUGAUUGGGAUAGACCUUUGCAAUUAUGGGUCUUCAACGAGGAAUUCCUAGUAAACGCAAGUCAUCAGCUUGCAUUGAUUACGUCCCUGCCCUUUGUACACACCGCCCGUCGCACCUACCGAUUGAGUGAUCCGGUGAAUAAUUCGGACUGCGGCAGUGUUCAGUUCCUGAACGUUGCAGUGGAAAGUUUAGUGAACCUUAUCACUUAGAGGAAGGAGAANUCGUAACA
rnacentral:rRNA from 1 species